AACAUUUUGUAUCAUUUGCUAACGCGAAACAGUCAAAUGUUUAACCAUUAGACGAACAAAUUUAAACAUUGCCAACUUCAAUUUUUAUUGAGUGUCAUUCGUUAUAAAAAGCUGCAGUCACAAUAUAAAUAUAUAAGACAUGGAGCAUCAUCGUAAGGGAUCAUCUGCCAAUGAAGUCAUACUCAAUCCAACAUCCACAAACACCACCAAAAUUAAGCUACCCGAAUUGACGCUUAUUUCCCAAAUCAAAUGUACACAAUAUUGUUAAAUCCAUCAACUGCAAUUGUUAUUGUGUUAUUCGUUAUAAAUAGUUGCAGUAAGAUUUUAAUUCAUAAGCAUUGGAUAAGUAAAAUGGAUAAGUGUUCCGCUGACAUACUAUUCUGUGUAUUAUUUAUGUUUUCUAUUUAUACCAGAGGGUCAUCUGCCAAUGAAGGCAUACUCAAUCCAACAUCUACAAACAUUACCACCAACAUUGAGCCACCCGAAUUGAUACUUGUCUCCAUUGACGCUUAUUUCCCAAAUCAAAUCUACACAAAAUUGCUAAAUCCACCAAAAACAAUAAUAAUAACUGACAAAUAUCACAAAAUUGAUAUGUACUAAAAAAUAUUAUUGACAGAACAAUCAAUAAACUUGGUAGCAUUGUGGGAAAAGCUAUCGAUAGAUAAAUAAAUCAAUAAACUUGCCAGCAUUGUACCAACAUUUGUUAUUGACAUGCCAUUCGAUUAAAAUAAAAACAAAAUAACAAAUAUAAAUUCGCCAGGAUUGUGACAAAAGCUAUUGAUAAAUGUCUAAAAAAUCGAUUAUGUACUAAAUAUGUCGACAGAUAAAUCAAUAAACUUCCUAGCAUUUGCCAACAUACUAUUUUAUAAAAACAAAAAUAAAAAAUUCUACACAAAAUGGGAAAUUGCUACCUUGUUUAUUGAAAGUAACAAUAGUUACGCCGGAGGAAUCAUCUGUGGACAUUUUAAACUAUGUGUUCCAGGAUCACGUAAUGGAUUUUAUUGCCAGCUGCUGGAAUGCAUACAUACAUAUGUGUGUGAAAACUUCCAAAGGAAGUGUGUGACAACAAGUUUUUUACGGAGAGGACCAACAUAUGGAUUCCAAUAACCUUACUGGAAUACUUAUCAGGCCUUAUUUUUGAGAGAAUGCCGUGGUUAAAAAAAUGGGAUAUGGGUUUAUAUAUGCAUGUGUAAGAACCCAAGGAUGAUUAUAAACACCAUGAUACGUGGAGUGAAUUGUUUACUGUAGGAUACGCCGAUCAUUUAUCCUCCGGUCAGCACGAAUUCUAGUUAAAAAUCUAAUUAAUAACUUCAAAACCAUUAAGCGUAAAUGGUCGAAAUAAAAAUUCUCAUUGCUGAUAUUUUGAGUCACACUUUUUAAAUAAAUAAAGUGUUCUAUACACUAAGACUUCGGUUUAUGCGAUUGAUGGAAAAAAAUGAUGUCAUUUAAUAAACACCUAAAGUCUUAUUAUAAUAAUAAAUCAAAUAAAGAACAAGGGCAAAUCUAUAAAUAAACAUAUACAUACUUGCUGGAAUUGUGGCAACAGGUGUUGUUUGUUAUUGACAUUUCAUCUAAUCAAACCAAAAAAGGACAAUUCCACUCAAUAUAGGAAAUUGUUACUAUAUUAAUUGAAGGUAACAAUAGUUCAUCAUUUACGCCGGAGGAAUUAUUAUUUGUGCACUGUUUAAAAGAUGUAUUCCCGGUCUCCUUUACUAGUCAAAAUUAGAUGAAAAAAAUUAUUUUGAAUGUGAUAUUAACAAGUAUUUGGAUACAAAAUAUUGUGUGAUAUUUUUCCAAAUUAUUAGGCGUCGUAAAGGUAAACCUUUUAAUAUUGUUUUUCUAAACUUUGGACAGGAUACAUAUGUAUGCGGAAGAAAAAAUACAUAUAUUAAAGAAACUGCAAAAAAUUACAAAUUUAUAAAAAAGAACAAGAAAAACAAUUGUUUACAUUUAAUGGGAAAAGGUGUCGGAUAGGAAAACAAAGACGGAGACGAAUACAAAAUAAAUAAAAACGAUAAUCCAGCGUUGAAAGAUUGUGUGUUGGUAAAUAAACAACGCAUGUGUACUAGAAGGGAGGGCGAAAAAUACAACGACGACGGAAAUUGAAACAAGUGAAUGAUAUUUCUCCUAUGCUUCAUUUCUAUUACGAUUCCGCUUUCAGGUUCUUCAUAUUAAAAAAUGGGAAAAGGGCGGAGGGGAAAAAAGGAUAGAUACGAAUAGAAAAACUUUAAGAUUGGGUGUUGUUGUUCUUCUUCUUCUUGCUGUUCUUGAAAAAAGGGGGAAGGAAAAAAAUUCAAAAAGAAUAGGACGGAGGGAAAAGAAACAACAAUUAAGGCCGGAUAUGGAAAAGAAAAAGUCUAACAAAAAAGAAAACAACGAAGAAGAAAAGAAAAGGAACAAUUAAAAUAUUAAAUAAAAGGAGAAAGGCGACGACGAUCCUAGGACAAAAAAUUAAGACCAAAGUGUAGAGAAAGAGGGAAGAGAGAUAAAACGUAUAGAGUAGGAGAGAAGGAGGGCGGAAACUUGGUUAGCAUCUCGUCUUAAGUGGAGUUUAACCGGUGGCAUGUCUAGCUUACCAUCUACCAUUCUUUAGGGAGUCCACAUAUUCAAAACCUCAAUUUUUCAACAUGUUAACUUUAUUUGCUUUUUUCUCAGAAACUAAUGGCCAGAUUGGGCUGGAAACACGAUCUUAAUUGGUUUUCAGGUGCUGAAUCCGAAUAUGACCACUAAAUUUUGAUCCGACCAAGAUUUCAUCGAAAUCCGGAAAAUUCCAAACAUAUUUCGAGUAUGUGUCUUAAGUCUUCAUAAAUUUAGUUGUUAUAUGUGUGCCAUCUGAUGAAUAAAAAAAUAAAUAAAAAGGAUCGUUGUUAUAUGUGCGCCAUCUGAGUGGAAGAAAAUUAAUCAAAUGUUUUUAAAAGUGUCGCCAUAUGUUUGUCAAUAGGAAAAUAAAACAAAUGUUUGUCAGUUAUUUAUUUGGAGAAAAAUUUAUGGCAUCAUUGGUAAACAGCUGUUAUUAGAGUAUCAUUUUAUUAAGAAUGCCACAAUAAUAAAAAGAAAAUGGAAAACAUUUAUUUAAAAUCUAUAGAUUUAUAGAUCCUUGUGUAUUUUUUUAAUUAUAUUUUAUUAUACAUUGCGCCGGAGGAAUUUAUUUAAGGACUAUUUGUGAAAACAUUUAAUGGAAAAGAAGCAACAUUUACGUAGAGGGACAACAUUUGGACUAAAUUAACAUUACGGGAAUACUUAUCAGGCCUUAUUUUUGAGAGGAUGCCGUCGUUAAAGCUAUUAAUUGUCACUAUUAUUGAAUCAUGAUGAACCGAUUUUUACUUCUGGCUGCUGAGGAAUUGGCAUAAAAUGUUUCCAAAGCUGCAAGGAAGUACACAUAUAGUUCUUGAAACUAUAGAAAACCUGAAUGAUAUGUUUCCAGCUUGCCUAGUAUUUUUACGAGGACGCUUUGGAUAAAAAUAUUAUUGUUAAUAGUGGGUGUUACAGAUAAUCGAAUAAAAAUUUCAUUUCAAUAAAUAUUUUACUCAUGUUUAAUGAAGAAUAGAUAUAGAAAAAAUAUCUAUUCUUCAACGAUCGUAUUUUAUUGAA
rnacentral:lncRNA from 1 species